rfam:Terrisporobacter sp. 08-306576 Contig161, whole genome shotgun sequence.
AUGUUUCAGGUCUGUGGUUGCAAGUCCAAGCCAGACGCAGGCUAAAGGAUCCACGUAAGUUAACACUAAAAAUUGGGUUAAUGAUCAUGGUGCGUCUUAGAUGUAAGACCUACCGGUAUUAAAAUCGAGAUGGUUAGUAGUGAGGCAAACCCGAGCGAAAGCUGCAGUAGGCGAGUGUGGGGUCAAAGACCAGGUCAGCUGAAACAA